UACAGAGGUCUCAAGCGUUGUUCGGAUUCAUUGGGCGUAAAGGGUGCGUAGGUGGCGCGGUAAGUCGGGUGUGAAAUUUCGGAGCUUAACUCCGAAACUGCAUUCGAUACUGCCGUGCUUGAGGACUGGAGAGGAGACUGGAAUUUACGGUGUAGCAGUGAAAUGCGUAGAGAUCGUAAGGAAGACCAGUGGCGAAGGCGGGUCUCUGGACAGUUCCUGACACUGAGGCACGAAGGCCAGGAGAGCAAACGGG
rnacentral:rRNA from 1 species